rnacentral:rRNA from 1 species
AGGGGGCAAGCGUUAUCCGGAUUUACUGGGUGUAAAGGGAGCGUAGGCGGCAGGCCAAGUCAGGCGUGAAAGCCCGGGGCCCAACCCCGGGACUGCGCUUGAGACUGGCCGGCUAGAGUACCGGAGAGGCAGGCGGAAUUCCUAGUGUAGCGGUGAAAUGCGUAGAUAUUAGGAGGAACACCAGUGGCGAAGGCGGCCUGCUGGACGGUGACUGACGCUGAGGCUCGAAAGCGUGGGGAGCAA